rnacentral:rRNA from 1 species
UUGACGGGGCCCGCACAAGCGGUGGAGCAUGUGGUUAAUUCGACGCAACGCGAAGAACCUUACCAGGGCUUGACAUCCCCUGACCGCGUAUGAAAGUACGUUUUCACCCUCGGGUGACAGGGAGACAGGUGGUGCAUGGUUGUCGUCAGCUCGUGUCGUGAGAUGUUGGGUUAAGUCCCGCAACGAGCGCAACCCCUACGUUUAGUUGCUAACGCGUGAAGGCGAGCACUCUAGACGAACUGCCGUUGACAAAACGGAGGAAGGUGGGAUGACGUCAAAUCAUCAUGCCCCUUAUGUUCUGGGCUACACACGUGCUACAAUGGCCGGUACAGACGGACGCAAAGCCGCGAGGUGGAGCAAAUCCUAAAAAGCCGGUCUCAGUUCGGAUUGCAGGCUGCAAUUCGCCUGCAUGAAGUCGGAAUCGCUAGUAAUCGCAGGCCAGCAUACUGCGGUGAAUACGUUCCCGGGCCUU